CACCGGCGCCCCGAGUGGCCAUCGCGAUUAUUGGGCCUAAAGCGUCCGUAGCCGGGCGAGUAAAUCCUCUGUGAAAUCGUUGCGCUUAACGUAACGGCGCGCAGGGGACACUGCUCGUCUUGAGACCGGGAGGGGUCAGAGGUAUGCCGUGGGGACUGGUAAAAUGGUAUAAUCCACGGUAGACCACCAAUGGCGAAGGCAUCUGACCAGAACGGAUCUGACGGUGAGGGACGAAAGCCAGGGGA
rnacentral:rRNA from 1 species